ACGAACGCUGGCGGCGUGCUUCACCCAUGCAAGUCGCACGGAAAGGCCCUGCUUUUGUGGGGUGCUCGAGUGGCGAACGGGUGAGUAACACGUGAGUAACCUGCCCUUGACUUUGGGAUAACUUCAGGAAACUGGGGCUAAUACCGGAUAGGAGCUCCUGCUGCAUGGUGGGGGUUGGAAAGUUUCGGCGGUUGGGGAUGGACUCGCGGCUUAUCAGCUUGUUGGUGGGGUAGUGGCUUACCAAGGCUUUGACGGGUAGCCGGCCUGAGAGGGUGACCGGCCACAUUGGGACUGAGAUACGGCCCAGACUCCUACGGGAGGCAGCAGUGGGGAAUAUUGCACAAUGGGCGGAAGCCUGAUGCAGCAACGCCGCGUGCGGGAUGACGGCCUUCGGGUUGUAAACCGCUUUCGCCUGUGACGAAGCGUGAGUGACGGUAAUGGGUAAAGAAGCACCGGCUAACUACGU
rnacentral:rRNA from 1 species